rnacentral:lncRNA from 1 species
UGAAUAAGAAAGGGAUAAAGAGUUGGCUUACAAUCGCCACUUCACACAAUACAUGAAUAUAGCAUUACAUUAUCCAGAUACAAUCAAGGUCCGACUAUGGAACCAAAUAAAGAAAGACCACCCCUAAUGCAAAAGAUCCCCGAUCGCCCCGACUGGGCUCCACUACUGAUCAACUGGAAACGAAACAACACAACGAACACGAUCUUCAUUGGGCUCCUCCUUGAGCUCGGUUGCGUCACCUGCACGGGUAUCAUCGGCACCUGCAAUUUUUUGAAGUAAUCUGUGAGUCACGGGGACUCAGCAAUCUCACAGCCUCACGAUCAAGACCAUUUAAGCUUAUGGGUAGGAAAGGGGUAGUGAGGUGGAGCUGCAGCACUAUGCAUAUAUGGUGGCUAACUUACGCAAAUAAGAGCGAGAAGAGAAGCAAUGCAACGGUCGUGAACUAGAAGUGAUCAAGAAGUGAUCCUGAAUCUACUUACGUUCAAGCAUAACACCAAAACCGUGUUCACUUCCCGGACUCCGCCGGAAAGAGACCAUCACGGCUACACACGUGGUUGAUUCAUUUUAAUUAAGUUAAGUGUCAGGUUGUCUACAACCGGAUAUUAACAAAUUCCCAUUUGCCCAUAACCGCGGGCACGGCUUUUGAAAGUUCAAAACCCUGCAGGGGUGUCCCAACUUAGGCCAUCACAAGCUCUCACGGUCAACGAAGGAUAUUCCUUCUCCCAGGAAGACCCGAUCAGACUCGGAAUCCCAGUUACAAGACAUUUCGACAAUGGUAAAACAAGACCAGCAAAUCCACCCGAAUGUGCCGACAAAUCCCGAUAGGAGCUGCACAUAUCUCGUUCUCAGGGCACACCGGAUGAGCAAGACGUCGGGUUGGCAUAGACCCUGGUUGCCCAGGGGGCGCCGGACAUCGCUCAGGUUGGACCAACACUUAGAGAAGCACUGGCCCGGGGGGUUAAAAUAAAGAUGACCCUCGGGUUAAUUACUCCCAAGGGAAAAGUAUAGGUUGUUAGGCAAAUGUAAAACCAAGGUUGGGCCUUGCUGGAGGAGUUUUAUUCAAAGCGAACUGUCAAGGGGUUCCCAUAACACCCAACUGCGUAAGGAACGCAAAAUCGAGGAACAUAACACCGGUAUGACGGAAACUAGGGCGGCAAGAGUGGAACAAAAUACCAGGCAUAAGGCCGAGCAUUCCACCCUUUACCAAGUAUAUAGGUGCAUUAAUUAAAAUAAGAGAUAUUGUGAUAUCCCAACAAAUAUCCAUGUUCCAACAUGGAACAAACUCCAUCUUCACCUACAACUAGCAACGCUAUAAGAGGGGCUGAGCAAAGCGGUAACAUAGCCAAACAACGGUUUGCUAGGACAAGGUGGGGUAGAGGCUUGACAUGGCAAUAUGGGAGGCAUGAUAUAGCAAGUGGUAGGUAUCGCGGCAUAGCAAUAGAGCGAGCAACUAGCAAGCAAAGAUAUAAGUGAUUUCGAGGGUAUGAUCAUCUUGCCUGAGAUCCCGCAAGGAAGAAGAAUGAGUCCAUGAAGAAGACAAACGGACGUAGUCGAACGGAUCCUCACAAACGCGCGUUAUCGGAACUAACCCGAAGAAGCAAGAACGGAAAGAAGCAAACAACAUAGUAAAACAACCACCACAUAAACAUGGCAUGAUGCACAACCAAGUAUGAUGCAUGACCGGUUUAAUGAUACAUGGCAUGGCAAAGUGCACAAACAAUCCUACAAAUUAAGUGGAGCUCAAUAUGCAACGAGUUGCAUGUUGACGGAACACCACAUUCAAGUUAUUUAGUUCGAUCUCAUUUAUGUACCCAACAAUAUUAAAUGUUGUUUAACAUGACAAGGGGUGAAGCAUAUGAAAACUACCUAUCUAGGCAAGUUUAAAUGAGGCUGGAACAACAAACAACAAGUCCGGAAACUCCUCAUGUGCAUAUUUUAGGUUUGGUACUGUUCUGCCCUAAACACAAUUUUAGAGUUGUUAAACAUGCAAAGAAAGUACACCAUGUUAAAGUAGGCAUUUUUCUACCCCAUUUACAUAUAAACUUUAUUAAAUUUGGAGCUACGGUUAAUUAGUUAUGAAAUAAAACAUUUUAAACAUAGAUGAAAGUUGGAUAUUAUGAAACUAGACAAAAUUCUAAGCAGAUUUCAUAUAUAAUUUGUUUUAAUAUGAUGCACCAUUUGUGAGUUGUUAAAUGCAUGAUCUAGAGGGACUUUUCUGCAAAACUGUUUUACUGGACUAAUUAGCAAAUUCCCAGGUGCUGGAAAAAACAUACACGGGCCGAAACUGGGUGAGCGUAGUAUAAUAUUCAGUGCCCAAGGCGUCACAUAAGCAAACAGGGAUGGGCUGGCUUGUGCUCACCUCGUGGGCCUUGGGCCAGCGGAUCUGGUGGGCUAAGGCUGUAGCAGGGCACGGGCGAC